CUUGCAUCCGCCGGUGUGAGUGCUUUGUUGUUGCAUGGUUUCUUUGUUUCGUGGGUAAUCUUCGACAUCAUCUGCUUUUUUGGAGGUGGUGGUGGUUGGACGAGAAUUCUGCCACAAAGAAGAUUUGUAUGUGCUUCCAUUUGAAUCAUCACGCCUUGGCAUCCACAUUGUUUCCAAGCUCUCUGGCCUGAAAUGGUGGCGACUAACUGAUGUGAAAAAAUUGGUGAAAUUGCCUUUCAAGGGCCGUCACGUGGUUGUGCCAUUCCUCCACUGAUGUAUGCUUUUGGUGAGGGUCCGUGCCACAAUGUUUGCAAUUGCACACUUCACGGUAGAGAAUGAAAUUGAGGUUGUUCCUGCAUCUUGGGUAACUGGUACAACAUGCAAGUGGCCAAAGGUUUCAUCGGACAAGGCCAAAAAGUUGGUCAUGAAGUCAGCACCUCCUGAGGAAUCAUGGGAUGUGUACAAAGUCAUUGUACGUGGAAUUUACUCAAUGUAUUCAGAUGCCCGGAGUAAACUUAAUGACCUGCAAUACACCUCUGAUGUUAACUCUGAUUGUGAAGGGGAUGGAAGAAAGCGGAACCGCUUCCCACCAAAACGCUUUAUUGAAGACGACUCUGAGGAGCUCAUGCAAGAAACAGACAAGCAUUCACACCUUUCAUCAUCCCAACAUGUGGACCAGGACUUUUUGAAGUCACAUGAAG